rnacentral:rRNA from 1 species
GAUGAACGCUGGCGGCGUGCCUAAUACAUGCAAGUCGAGCGAACAGACGAGGAGCUUGCUCCUCUGACGUUAGCGGCGGACGGGUGAGUAACACGUGGAUAACCUACCUAUAAGGCUGGGAUAACUUCGGGAAACCGGAGCUAAUACCGGAUAAUAUAUUGAACCGCAUGGUUCAAUAGUGAAAGACGGUUUUGCUGUCACUUAUAGAUGGAUCCGCGCCGCAUUAGCUAGUUGGUAAGGUAACGGCUUACCAAGGCAACGAUGCGUAGCCGACCUGAGAGGGGGAUCGGCCACACUGGAACUGAGACACGGUCCAGACUCCUACGGGAGGCAGCAGGAGGGAAUCUUCCGCAAUGGGCGAAAGCCUGACGGAGCAACGCCGCGUGAGUGAUGAAGGUCUUCGGAUCGUAAAACUCUGUUAUUAGGGAAGAACAAAUGUGUAAGUAACUAUGCACGUCUUGACGGUACCUAAGCAGAAAGCCACGGCUAACUACGUG